rnacentral:rRNA from 1 species
AUUGAACGCUGGCGGCAGGCCUAACACAUGCAAGUCGAGCGGAGCGGCGGACGGGUGAGUAAUGCCUAGGAAUAUGCCUGGCAGUGGGGGAUAACGUCCGGCAACGGGCGCUAACACCGCAUACUAUCAGAUGAGCCUAGGUCUGAUUAGCUAGUUGGUGGGGUAAAGGCCUACCAAGGCGACGAUCCGUAACUGGUCUGGGAGGAUGAUCAGUCACACUGGAACUGAGACACGGUCCAGACUCCGACGGGAGGCAGCAGUGGGGAAUAUUGGACAAUGGGCGAAGGCCUGCUGCAGCAAUGCCGCGUGUGUGAAGAAGGUCUGCGGAGUGUAAAGCACUUGAAGUUGGGAGGCGUUACCAACAGAAUAAGCACCGGCUAACUUCGUGCCAGCAGCCGCGGUAAUUC